UACGUAGGGGUGCGAGCGUUGUCCGGAAUUAUUGGGCGUAAAGGGCUCGUAGGCGGUUUGUCGCGUCGGGAGUGAAAGUCCCACUGGCUUAACUGGUGGCUUGCUUUCGAUACGGGCAGACUGGAGGUAUGCAGGGGAGAACGGAAUUCCUGGUGUAGCGGUGAAAUGCGCAGAUAUCAGGAGGAACACCGGUGGCGAAGGCGGUUCUCUGGGCAUGUCCUGACGCUGGAGGAGCGGAAAGUGUGGGGAGCGAACAGG
rnacentral:rRNA from 1 species